CCGCUGGCGGUGUCUUCACACUUACAAGUCGAACGAGGUAGCAAUACCUAGUGGCGGACGGGUGAGUAACGGACUCUGCCCAAUGGUGGGGGAUAACUAACCGAAAGGUUAGCUAAUACCGCAUAUGCCGUGAGGUAAAAGGAGUAAUCCGCCCCUGUGAUGAGCCUGCUGUUCGAUUAGCUUGUUGGUAGGGUAAAAGCCUACCAAAGCUACGAUCGGUAGCUGGUCUGAGAGGAUGAUCAGCCACAAUGGGACUGAGACACGGCCCAUACUCCUACGGGAGGCAGCAGUGGGGAAUUUUACGCAAUGGGGGAAACCCUGACGUAUCGACACCGCGUGAGCGAAGAAGCCCUUUGGGGUGUAAAGCUCUGUCAGCAGGGACGAAAAAAAUGACGGUACCUGCAGAGGAAGCAUCGAGUACUACAUGCAGCAGCAGAGAAAGAAGUAAGAUGCAAGAGUAGUCCAGAUUCAUAGGACG
rnacentral:rRNA from 1 species